AAUACGCAUGAGCGAGCCUGACGCAGCGACGCCGCGUGGGGGAUGAAGGUCUUCGGAUUGUAAACCCCUUUCGGGAGGGAAGAUGGGAUGGGGUAACCCAUUCGGACGGUACCUCCAGAAGCAGCCACGUCUAACUUCGUGCCAGCAGCCGCGGUAAUAAU
rnacentral:rRNA from 1 species